AGGGUAAUAGUUAACCAUAACAUUUAAUUUGCAUUUAAAAAGUAUUGAAUUCAUAUCAAUUUACCUUA
rnacentral:tRNA from 1 species